UACGUAGGUCCCGAGCGUUGUCCGGAUUUAUUAGGCGUAAAGCGAGCGCAGGUGGUUUAUUAAGUCUGGUGUAAAAGGCAGUGGCUCAACCAUUGUAUGCAUUGGAAACUGUUCAACUUGAGUGCAGAAGGGGAGAGUGGAAUUCCAUGUGUAGCGGUGGAAUGCGUAGAUAUAUGGAGGAACACCGGUGGCGAAAGCGGCUCUCUGGUCUGUAACUGACGCUGAGGCUCGAAAGCGUGGGUAGCGAACAGG
rnacentral:rRNA from 1 species